CGUUGGCUCAUAGCAGUAGUAGUUUUCCUUUCAAAUGACUCUAAAGAACUAUCUGUCUUUGUAUCCUCAUGUGACGUACACUUCACCUACACUAUAUAAUCUGAGCUGAGCAGGUAAACUCUCACUGCUGAGCGCUGAGUCGUGAGGAAAUCGUUUGACUAGGACAACCUCACUGCUGAAGUACAAGUGUGAGACCAUGACUCCUGUAAAGUCAUGUUUCCUGCUGCUCCUCAGCGUCCUGUUCAUCGCUCCCACAGUAUCUGAGGUGGUGACAUCCAUGUCAGACUGUGAAGGGUUUCUGCUUAACAACAAACCUCCUCAGGUUCCACACGUCGUGGAGGAUGAUAAAAUACAGGACAACAACCGAUACAAAGUCAUCUGUCAGACUUACAAGGAUGAGAGGAGGUUUGUGACGCUUUAUGACACCAAGAACAGGAUCCCUGUGUUUUCUGCUUAUAAGUUCACAGGAGCAGAGACGGGAAGACCGGACGAUAACUGGAAGAUGGAGCCACAGAUACACUUGAAAACAUGAACGAUGACAAAAACAUGAGGAACCGCAGAAAUCAAGAAUACAAAAACCAGGCUACUGACACUGAUUAUUCAACAAGCACAUACAUGUAUGACAAAGGUCAUUUGUUUCCAUCUUCUUAUGCAAAGACUCUAGUUGACAAAGAGACUACAUUCACUCUGACAAACGCUGUUCCACAAGUUCCAUCUUUCAACCAAGGCAGCUGGAACAAAAUGGAGACCUCUGUCAAAUGUGUCAUGGAAAUGUUCUGUAUUAACAAUAAUGACGUCAUUGAAGCCUACGUAAUAACUGGAGCAAAGCCUAGUGACAAGACAAUUAAUAACAGGGUUAAUGUACCUUCACUGCUCUGGUCGGCGUUCU